GAUGAAGAACGCAGCGAAAUGCGAUACUUGGUGUGAAUUGCAGAAUCCCGUGAACCAUCGAGUCUUUGAACGCAAGUUGCGCCUCAAGCCAUUAGGUUGAGGGCACGUCUGCCUGGGCGUCACAUAUCGUUGCCUGAUGCCAGUUUCCUCGUGAUGGGUGACUGUGCAGGGCGAAUGAUGGCUUCCCGUGAGCAUUGUUGCCUCAUGGUUGGUUGAAAAUUGAGUCCUUGGUAGGGAGCGCCGUGAUAGAUGGUGGUUGAGUGACGAACGAGACCCAAUCAUGUGAGACCCCUACCGAAUUUGGCCUUCAUGACCCACAUGCGUCUUUGGAACGCUCAUGACGAGACCUCAGGUCAGGCGGGGCUACCCGCUGAGUUUAAGCAUGUCAAUAAGCGGAGGA
rnacentral:misc_RNA from 1 species